rnacentral:rRNA from 1 species
GACGAACCGUGCGAACGUUAUUCGGAAUCACUGGGCUUAAAGCGCGUGUAGGCGGACGGGGACGUCGGUCGCUGAAAUCCCCCGGCUCAACCGGGGAACAGGCGCCGAAACGCCCCGUCUCGAGGGACGUAGGGGGACCUGGAACUUCCGGUGGAGCGGUGAAAUGCGUUGAGAUCGGAAGGAACGCCCGUGGCGAAAGCGAGGUCCUGGACGUCUACUGACGCUGAGACGCGAAAGCUAGGGGAGCGAACGGG